GGAGGAGGAGGAGGAGGAGGAGGAGGGAGUAGAGGCAGCUGAAGAAGAGGAAAUGACGAUAGAAGAACAACCAGAGCUGGAAGGAGGCGGAGCUAAACCCCAUGCUGCAUCUGGGUUUCUGGUUCCAGUUCGUGGCUUUUUGUGUCGAUUCUGUAAUAAAUUCUUCAAAGAAGAAGCUGCAGGAGAACACACACACCCUGUGUGAAGAAUGCAUCUGGGCCUUCGGCAGGUGGUGGAACCAGGAACGUCUUUCACCCCUCGACAGCCCCUCAGCGCUCUGGUCACGUGCACGCCCCUCUGGUCACGUGCGCUGUCCUGUGUGGCGCUGUGGAGGAGCUCCACCCUGAACGGCUUGCCGGGAUUUGAACCGUCAGCCGUGUCUCUUUGACGAACUUCAGCUGAACCCAGCGGAACCUGAACCCGGCUCAGAGCAGAACCCUGCAGAACCCGGCUCAGAGGAGAACCCUGCAGAACCCGGCUCAGAGGAGAACCCUGCAGAACCCGGCUCAGAGCAGAACCCUGCAGAACCCGGCUCAGAGGA